AGGGUUUGAUUCUGGCUCAGAUUGAACGCUGGCGGCAUGCCUAACACAUGCAAGUCGAACGGUAACAGAUAAGACGAUCUCUUCGGAGUGAAUCUUUGCUGACGAGUGGCGGACGGGUGAGUAAUGCUUGGGAAUCUGCCCAAUAGUGGGGGAAAACUCGGGGAAACCCGGGCUAAUACCGCAUAAUCUCUACGGAGGAAAGGGGGCCUCUACAUGUAAGCUCUCGCUAAUGGAUGAGCCCAAGUCAGAUUAGCUUGUUGGUAAGGUAAUGGCUUACCAAGGCUACGAUCUGUAGCUGGUCUGAGAGGAUGAUCAGCCACACUGGGACUGAGACACGGCCCAGACUCCUACGGGAGGCAGCAGUGGGGAAUAUUGCACAAUGGGCGCAAGCCUGAUGCAGCAAUGCCGCGUGUGUGAAGAAGGCUCUAGGGUUGUAAAGCACUUUCAAUAGAGAAGAAAAGUUUGAAGUUAAUAACUUCAAACCUUGACGUAACCUAUACAAGAAGCACCGGCUAAUUCCGUGCCAGCCGCCGCGGUAAUUC
rnacentral:rRNA from 1 species